rnacentral:snoRNA from 1 species
AAGCAAUUCUCUCAAGUUGCGUGGUUCAAAUACAAAGCCAAAAGCAAUUUUUGUUACGACGGUCACUGAUUUUGGUAAACUCUAGCCAUUUCAGUAACUUUUACGUGCAAUUACA